GCUGGGCGAGGUGGUGUUUGCCUGUAAUCCCAGGAGCUUGGAAGGCAUAGGCAGGAGGAUCCUAAGUUUAAAAGAAGCCUCAGCAGAAGUGAGGUGCUAAGCAACUCAGUGAGACCCUGUCUCUA
rnacentral:sRNA from 1 species